UUUCAGUGCUACUAGAGUGUAGGCCGAAUUGGGGUUCGAUGCUAUUCGCUGCACGCUUGUGUGUUCUGUCGUAGUGCUCGUGAUAGUACAUUGCGCAUAUUCAGGACUACAAACUGCCUCGUAUGACAUUACAGGUCCUCAACCUGGGCAACCUACUAUUGUCUUCGUUUGCACCAAGAGAGCAGACAUCUGCCCACCCCCAUCGCAUUUCCCUGCUGGCACUGAACGGGGUCUUCCUGGUUGACAUCCUCUCAACCAACACAGCCUCGCCUUUGCAAAGGGGCGGUAACACCUGGACCAUGGACUGCAAAACCAGGAACCACUGACAAGGAGGUGCACCGCCAGCAAUUCGUCAAGGACUACUGAAAUAACUAUCAUCGCUGCGAGCUUCGCUAGUGGCACCAAGUUGGCAGCUCUGCAUCUGGCGCACACAAUGGAUGAUCUCGCAGGUCCUUCGUGUAUUUCAUCCAGUUCUUACUCUACCAAAGACGACGUCCAUGGUUUGACCGUCCCUCAUCCGACAGUUUCUUCUCCCUGCUGGUGCCCACUGCGUUCUCUUAAAGGACCUUUGCUCGACGAUCUGCAGUCACUUGCCUUGCCAACCUCUGCAUCUCGUGCUUGCAACCAACGAUCUCGCCGGUCCUUUGCGUACAUCGUCUAGUCUUUGCUUCAUGAACUUCCUUGGUCUAACAGCCUUCAGACGAGUAUUUGAUCUCUCCGCUUGGUGGUCUGCAGUGACUCGGGCA